rnacentral:rRNA from 1 species
ACGCACGCUGGCGGCGUGCUUAACCCCUGCACGUCGAACGGAAAGGCCCUGCUUGCAGGGUACUCGAGUGGCGAACGGGUGAGUAACACGUGGGUGAUCUGCCCUGCACUUCGGGAUAAGCCUGGGAAACUGGGUCUAAUACCGGAUAGGAGCCAUUUUUAGUGUGAUGGUUGGAAAGUUUUUUCGGUGUAGGAUGAGCUCGCGGCCUAUCAGCUUGUUGGUGGGGUAAUGGCCUACCAAGGCGGCGACGGGUAGCCGGCCUGAGAGGGUGGACGGCCACAUUGGGACUGAGAUACGGCCCAGACUCCUACGGGAGGCAGCAGUGGGGAAUAUUGCACAAUGGGCGCAAGCCUGAUGCAGCGACGCCGCGUGGGGGAUGACGGCCUUCGGGUUGUAAACUCCUUUCGCUAGGGACGAAGCUUUUUGUGACGGUACCUAGAGAAGAAGCACCGGCUAACUACGUG